GUUGGAUGGAUGGUGGAGAGGUGGGAGGGUGAAUGAGUAAAUGGAGGGAUAGGGGUAGCCAGAUAGAUGGAUGACACUGGAUGGCUGGACAGAUGGAUAUAUGGGCAGCUGGAGAGGAACCUUCCUCCUCAAAAAUCAAAGAACACAGUGGAUGCAAAAAUAUUCCGUAAAUGGAAAAAUGUAGAUGUAGAGAAGAACUAAGCCACAUCUGUCGAGGGCCCUGCACUUGCCAGGUCAUGAGCUAUGAAGUUGAUUUACUGACCCAUGAAUGGGUCACAACCCGCAGUUUGGAAACAGCUGGAUGGACCCCCACCUGUGCUUUCCAGCUUCUCCUAGAGCCUCAGGGCCCCAGGAAGGCAGUGUGGUCUCUGCAACCAGGUCCUCUCCUGGGAGAAACACUUCAACUUUUGCAAAAGAUUCAUUAAUUCAUCACCAUGGCACCCAGAAAAAAAAAAUGCAAAAGAGAAGACUCAAGUUGUGGCCGACCCAAGGUGGCUGCAAACUGAGAUUUUCCUCGUUGAGAGGUGGGGGUCUAAGUUCCCUCCCUUGAACCUAGGCAGGCCCUCUGACUGCCUAACCAACAGAAAUAGCAUGGAAGCGACACUGUACCGGUUUUUGAGGCUAAGCCUGAAGAGACUGGCAGUUCCCACUUCCUGUCGUCUGGGAAUAAUUGUUCUUGAAACCUAAGUGCUAUGCUGUGAGGAAGCCAAGCAGCCUCGUUGACAGGCCCACAUGGAGCGGAACCAAACCCUGGCCAGCAGCCCCUGCUGCACCCCUAGCUGACAGCCAGGUUCGACUUGUCUUGCAUACCAGUAUGUCAUCUUGGAUGAGGAUCCCCUAGUAGGGCCAUCUCAGCUGAUGCUCCAAGGAGCAGAGAUGAGCCAUCCCCACCAAGCCCUGCAAGAAAGACUGCCAACUAAUCAGGAGGAAGACUUGCAAGUUGGGUUGGGUAUACUGAAGUGUAAACAUGUAGCUGCUACUCUUUUUUUUUUUUUUUUUUUUUUGAGACGGAGUCUUGCUCUGUCACCCAGGCUGGAGUGCAGUGGCGCGAUCUCUGCUCACCGCAAGCUCCUCCUCCCGGGUUCACGCCAUUCUCCUGCCUCAGCCUCCCGAGUAGCUGGGACUACAGGCGCCCGCCACCACGCCCGGCUAAUUUUUGUAUUUUUAGUAGAGACGGGGUUUCAUCGUGUUAGCCAGGAUGGUCUCGAUCUCCUGACCUUGUGAUCUGCCCGCCUCAGCCUCCCAAAGUGCUGGGAUUAUAGGCGUGAGCCACUGCACCCGGUCUAAGUUAAUACCUUUAAAUGUGGUUUGUUAUGCAGCAAUAGAUAACAGGAACA